rnacentral:rRNA from 1 species
AGCAGUCGCCGCGGUAAUACGUAGGUGGCAAGCGUUGUCCGGAAUUAUUGGGCGUAAAGGGCUCGCAGGCGGUUUCUUAAGUCUGAUGUGAAAGCCCCCGGCUCAACCGGGGAGGGUCAUUGGAAACUGGGAAACCUGAGUGCAGAAGAGGAGAGUGGAAUUCCACGUGUAGCGGUGAAAUGCGUUGAGAUGUGGAGGAACACCAGUGGCGAAGGCGACUCUCUGGUCUGUAACUGACGCUGAGGAGCGAAAGCGUGGGGAGCGAACAGGAUUAGAUACCCGUGUAGUCCCUGUCUCUUAUAC